rnacentral:rRNA from 1 species
GUAGGGUGCGAGCGUUAAUCGGAAUUACUGGGCGUAAAGUGUGCGCAGGUGGCCGAGCAAGUCGAGUGUGAAAUCCCCGGGCUUAAUUUGGGAAUUGCGCUCGAAACUACGUGGCUCGAGUGUGGCAGAGGAAGGUGGAAUUCCACGUGUAGCGGUGAAAUGCGUAGAGAUGUGGAGGAACACCGAUGGCGAAGGCAGCCUUCUGGGCCAACACUGACGCUCAUGCACGAAAGCGUGGGGAGCAAACAGGAUUAGAUACCCUGGUAGUCCACGCCCUAAACGAUGAUGACUAGUUGUUGGGGGAGUUAAAUCCCUUAGUAACGCAGCUAACGCGUGAAGUCAUCCGCCUGGGGAGUACGGUCGCAAGAUUA